rnacentral:rRNA from 1 species
UCGGGAAUUUUGGGCAAUGGGCGCAAGCCUGACCCAGCAACGCCGCGUGAAGGAUGAAGUCUUUCGGGAUGUAAACUUCGCAAGAAUGGGAAGAAUAAGUGAAAGAUAAUACCUUUCACGAUGACGGUACUAUUUGUAAGCUCCGGCUAACUUCGUGCCAGCAGCCGCGGUAAUACGAGGGGAGCAAGCGUUGUUCGGAUUUACUGGGCGUAAAGGGCGCGUAGGCGGCGCAACAAGUCACUUGUGAAAUCUCCGGGCUUAACUCGGAGCGGUCAAGUGAUACUGUCGUGCUAGAGUGCAGAAGGGGCAACUGGAAUUCUUGGUGUAGCGGUGAAAUGCGUAGAUAUCAAGAGGAACACCUGCGGCGAAGGCGGGUUGCUGGGCUGACACUGACGCUGAGGCGCGAAAGCUAGGGGAGCGAACGGGAUUAGAUACCCCGGUAGUCCUAGCCUUAAACGAUGGAUGCUUGGUGUCUGAAGUUAUAUAGUCUUCGGGUGCCGUCGCUAACGCUGUAAGCAUCCCGCCUGGGGAGUACGCACGCAAGUGUGA